AUUGAACGCUGGCGGCAUGCCUUACACAUGCAAGUCGAACGGCAGCACGGGUGCUUGCACCUGGUGGCGAGUGGCGAACGGGUGAGUAAUACAUCGGAACAUGUCCUGUAGUGGGGAAUAGCCCGGCGAAAGCCGGAUUAAUACCGCAUACGAUCUACGGAUGAAAGCGGGGGACCUUCGGGCCUCGCGCUAUAGGGUUGGCCGAUGGCUGAUUAGCUAGUUGGUGGGGUAAAGGCCUACCAAGGCGACGAUCAGUAGCUGGUCUGAGAGGACGACCAGCCACACGGGGACUGAGACACGGCCCAGACUCCUACGGGAGGCAGCAGUGGGGAAUGUUGGACAAUGGGCGAAAGCCUGAUCCAGCAAUGCCGCGUGUGUGAAGAAGGCCUUCGGGUUGUAAAGCACUUUUGUCCGGAAAGAAAUCCUUGGCCCUAAUACGGUCGGGGGAUGACGGUACCGGAAGAAUAAGCACCGGCUAACUACGUG
rnacentral:rRNA from 1 species